CCCCUUGUCUUCUGUUCUUCUGGAGAUGUGUGGGCGGGGAGGGGAACAGCUCGAGCUGGCACACGAGGCCGUCGGUGCUUUUGCCACACUUCGAGCCACUCGGCCCUCUGAGCUCCGCCCGCUUGUCCUUCACGGCGCCGCUCAGCUGGUCGCUGCCCUUCAGCCCGGCGGCCGCUGCCACUGGCCGCUCCACCUCCUCCCACACCGCCGUAUAUCCUGAACCCUCCCUCGUCGGUGUUAGGCCUCCUCCUCCUCUUCCUUUGCCAUUCUCUUCUGUAGUGUCGCCAUGGACGCCAUGAAGCCGUCGCCGCCAUGGCAUCCCUCCACAACGCAGAGAUCGCCGUCCUCACCUGUGUGGCGAGGGGAAGACGGCAGAGGCAGGAGGGGGUUUCGAUCCGCGCUCAUCGACGGCGAGGUCUAUUCGGCCUUAGUCUAUUCGGCCUUCCGGUGGGGUGUCGUGGCAUGGAGAUCAAGGCGUGAAGGGCAUCAUUUUCUUCCUCUCUGUUUUUAUUUUUUGACGAACCUGACAGUUGUACCUUCUUUUCAAGAUGACCGCUGAUCCAUGCGGGUUCAGCUGUUUCUGCUUCCUCUAUGUUUCAUUGCAGCUGCCAUGCCCUCUCCUGCUUUAUGUUUUCUUGGGGUGAGGUUUGGGGGAGCAGCAGGUCGUAGGGGGUGGGUUCUAGCCAAGGUUUCUAUUCCCAGAUCGACAGAAGCUACCAGAUCAGGGCCCACAUAGCCUCCUUUCCUGUGAUUCUAAGUGGGAUUCUAAGUAGCGACACCCUUUGUUAAUACAUGUGUUCUGCAGUUCUAAUUUUGAAUUUUUUAAAUUUGACUGAACAUGGUUGCACUGUCAGAAUUCUAGAGUUAUGGAAGAUGCCGACUUUCCUCUUGAGUUGAGAAGGUUGUUAGGAGGUGAUUUGUGCAAACUGAUAGUCAGUUUGCAGAGAAGUGCUCUCGCCAUGAUGCACUUUCUUCUGGAACAACUGCGCUUACAACAAUGAUUUUUGGAAGGUCUCUUCUGAUUUUGGCGGUGGUGCGUUUGAUUUGGUCGUUUGUGUGGCUGUUUGUGAUGUAGUGUUCCGAACGAUGUCCAGUUGUAGCCUGCAGCAGUGAUUCAUUUAGUUGUCUAUGUCAACAGAGUUUAAAAGACCUUUGUCAGUUUGGAGUUUAUGUCCUGUGUAUAUAUGGUUACCCUAUGGUUAUGGUCAUGGUUAUGGUUGUAGGUCACUUUAUCUUAGCAAACAUAGUAGUCUAAAUGCACUGAGCAUCUAAGCUUUUGGUCCCAUAACAUAAUGUCGAAUGGUGUGUUUUGCAAGUUGGUUCUAUCGUGUGUUAGCUCUUA